GAUGAAGUGGUGGUAGUAGAUAAACAAAACACUGAAGGUGUGGCUCCUUUGAGACGGAAAUUUAUAAAUUAUUACUCCUCGCAGUCCUCUACUUGUUCACCUCAGUUUGGGUAAAAUCUUUACGUUUUACGCAAUUUAAAGCUUGUUGACUCGACCAAGAGGAUGACACAGCAAGAGAAAGUAUUGUGUUGAUAUCUUUUGAGCUUUGCUGGUGAUGAUUAUUCAUCUUAGUUUCCCCAUUAUCCAUUUUGGGGCAUAAACUCAACUGAAGAGAGAUGUUACCUCAAGCGGAGGAGAAGUCUUCUCAAACUUGGAGUCGUAGCCAGUGGACGUGAACAUAGAACUACAUUUAUUCUGUUGAAAUUGGCCGUCGAUAUUGAUGGAUUUGGCCAUCCAAUUAUCCGGCGAAGAUUUCACAGCAGAGUUAUCAUCCCAAGAGCAAAUGAAUCUACCCUGCUCUUGAUUCUCGAAUGUUUCACGAGGAGGCCAUCUUUUGUCUUCAAGAAAUCUACUGGGUCUGAUUGGUCCACUAGUAUUUCUUGUUAUUGCCUCCUUUACAUCAAAUAGAUGUGAAUUUGCCAACUUGUUUCCAUUUUGAAAGAUAGUUGGAUCGACCUGGCUCUUGUCAGCACUUAAAUCCUUGCUCCACCGUGCAGAUCUAGAGAAAUGAUCAUUUAAAGCCCACGGUUGAUAUCUAGAGAGAGAGAGGAAGAGAGUCAGUGUAAUUGUU